rnacentral:lncRNA from 1 species
AUACAAGGCACCCAGAAGAAUGUAGAACUUUCAUAACAGAAAGAAAAGAUUUUAGGCAUCUAUUUUACCAUCUCAGAGGAAGAUAGCUGCAGUUGUGUAAAACAGUGAAGGAAGACUUUGAAAGAGCAGAAUCGUGAGGAAUGAUGCCAGUGCCAUUUGCUGAAAAUGAAAGCAGGAACUUGGACCAGAAGUUUUAGAAUCCUGAAUUUAUCAAAGAAAUGUGAAGGCUGAGGCUUACAGAGAUCGAAGAGUAGAGGAUGCAUUGAGGCCACAGUUGAAGGAAAGAAGCCUGGAUUUCCACUGAAUUUGGGCUAAAUUUCCACUAUUCUUCUUCCUCUUCCUUAAGAUUCUGCUCAUUGGGUUACCCACCAACCCAGGAAACAGACUUAUCUCCUUAUCCUCAAGUUGCUGAAGGCAGGAAGAAUGAGCAAGGUUUUGCUCAAGGAAGAGCUAUUGUAACAAAAUAAUUGUAAUUAGUCUGAUAGUGCAGGGAAAGAAACUCCAUUUCUUCUGAGGAAUUCGGGGCAUUAUUUGCAUUUGAAAAAGCAAUCUCAUUAGAGCAGUAUGUUAUAUUAUAAGACAUUUUGCAGAAAAAUGUUUGAGAAGAACCAUAGCAGUCUCUUGCAUGUGCAUGUGUGCCCACACACAGACACACACACACUCUGAAUUUUCCACUUAAAAGUACAUAUACUUCAAUUAAAAAGCAAUUUGAAAAGUAAUAUAAAUUGAUCAGGGGAUGUUCCUAAAUUUAAAGAGGGAAAGACUUGUAGAGGUUUAAAAAUAAAAGGACUUGGGGUUGGAGGAACAGGCAUUAGGGAAAGCUAUAUGGCAAGGUUAAAAGAAUUGUGGAAUUAAUGCUAUUUAAAAAUAAUUGCAUUAGAAAUCUAGCUAAUGGGAAUUAGUCCAUUUCAUUGACUUAGAUAGUUAUAAAAUUAAUUCCUUUUUGUGGGAAUUUUAAUUGGGUGGCUACAACCAGAUGCACAUGAGGAAUCCCCUCCUGGUGCUAGAAUUGCAAUCAGGAUGUUCAAUUCAACAACAGAGUUCGAUUCAUCAAUUGGGUGAAUCUCCCAAUCUAAAAAGGUUCCGCAUAGCUACUAUGCACCUAAAAUUGCCCCCAAAUGGUUUUCUUACUUUCAUGUUAUUCUAAGUUUUUUACUCUUGGUGAAACCUCCUCACAUGCUAGGCUACUUGUCUAUUUUCAUCCCCCCUUAGCCUCACUUCCCAAAAUAUUUUAUCAUUUUCUCUUUUGGGUCAACAAUUACGGAAAAUAAAAUUAUUUCUAUUUCAAA